ACUCCUACGGGAGGCAGCAGUAGGGAAUCUUCGGCAAUGGGGGCAACCCUGACCGAGCAACGCCGCGUGAGUGAAGAAGGUUUUCGGAUCGUAAAACUCUGUUGUUAGAGAAGAACGUUAAGUAGAGUGGAAAAUUACUUAAGUGACGGUAUCUAACCAGAAAGGGACGGCUAACUACGUGCCAGCAGCCGCGGUAAUACGUAGGUCCAAGCGUUGUCCGGAUUUAUUGGGCGUAAAGCGAGCGCAGGUGGUUUCUUAAGUCUGAUGUAAAAGGCAGUGGCUCAACCAUUGUGUGCAUUGGAAACUGGGAGACUUGAGUGCAGGAGAGGAGAGUGGAAUUCCAUGUGUAGCGGUGAAAUGCGUAGAUAUAUGGAGGAACACCGGAGGCGAAAGCGGCUCUCUGGCCUGUAACUGACACUGAGGCUCGAAAGCGUGGGGAGCAAACAGGAUUAGAUACCCUGGUAGGAUAGCG
rnacentral:rRNA from 1 species